GUCCAACCGAGGUCACAUUUGAGGUCAGGAAGGAAUUUCACCCCAUGGUCAGAUCGAUUCAGACUCGGGGGGUGCCUUCCUCUGCGAUCUCUUGAGUGUUUAUAGCAGGACGUUGGCUGCCGCAGUCCCAUGCUUUACCUGGGGCGGGUUGGGGCGUGCUGCUUUCUCUCGCAUCAGGGAUGAUGGUAGUUUUACGGAGAGGUUAGGUGAUGGAUUGUCUGGGGUGGUUUGAUCCUGCCUCGGGGUUGUUUUAUCGGUGAUGAUGAUGCACUUCACCCUUUGCACCCUAUGCUAUGAGGCUGCUCCGGGGAAGAAGGCAGUACCUCACCCCAGGCUGGGUGUCCCUUACUGGUCUUUUCUCCAUGCUGGGAAGCCCACGCAUGGGCUUAGACAUCCCUUGCUUGGUGCAGAUUAGGCCUUUCUCCAUGCAUGGACGUUGACAGCCACAAAGCUUGGUGUAGGGUCCAGGUGGUGGGUGCAAGAGAAUAUCUUGACCCCCCCCAAAGAAACCUCAGAUGCACAUUCUGCAUUUCCCCAUGCACAUCUGCAUGUAAAGGAGCUGCACAGCCCAGGGGAGAUUGCUGUUGCCCCGGAGCCCAAAUGGGGUCCCACGGGGGGACAUCCUCCUAGCCAGCAGAGGAAACAGCAUUUAGAAGAAAGCGGCUGUCAGAUGGUUACGAAAAGGGGUUGGAAACCAGCCCUGAGAGCCGUUUCCAGCAGCGCACUCCAGCUGGAAGACUGCAUCGAGCGGGGCUCCGUCAGGGGUCUGUGCUCAGGCUGGUGCUACACGGCGUCUUCCUUAGUGACUUGUCAGAUGGGAGAGAGAGCAGAGCUGCUAGAUCUGCAGGUGCUGGCAGGGGCGGCCAGAUGUGUCAUGAAUUGAAGUUCUGCUUUAUAAUAAUCUCGACACGUGGGAGAAAGGGUAAAAAAAAAAAAAACCCUACGGGCUAUUUGGCAUGGUUAAGUGCCAAGUCCUGCAUCCCUGUAGGACUCACCGGUAGCAUCAGUGCAAAUGAAGGAAACAACUGGGAAGCCACUGAUCUUACAGGCAAGGAUCCAAGGAUUAUAGCAGCUAUCAAACCAACUCCUGAUCAACAACGUCAUGCCUUUGCCAAAUGUGUGUGCUGUGAUCCCUCAGGACAGCAUAAGCCCCUCUCCUUCCCUCACUCCUUUUCAGGAGAAGGAUUUCAGGGGACGGCUCUGAAACAAUAGAGCCAAGACCUUCGCCAAGCCAGGAAAUGCAGAGUUACAGGAUGCAACACCCGUGGCCGGCAUGGAAGAACCAGCUAGUGUAGGGGGAGUGGGCUGGCUCGCGAUAUCGGGGAGAGACCCAAAGCAGGGUGGGGAGCAGAUGCAUCAUGAGAGAGCACGGAGCAGCUAACAGCACCUGCUUCUCCAAGGGCAACUUCCAUCCCCUGUCCUUGGUCGCAGCAUGCAGGAGGAGGGAGGAUCACGUGGCGUUUCUCCUUUAGCUGACCACAACAGCGUUUUAACCGCGUGAUAAAUCCCGGGCAGCUCAUGAACGGUGUCAAGGUGGCUUCUGAAGGAAGAGAAGCAGGGAGGCACGGCGCAGCGAUCACGGACUCCGGGGGCACGUGCAUCUCAGCAUCUGGGUACACGUAACUCCUGCUCCCAUGAAGACUUUGGUUCGUGGCUAGAAGAGUCAGGAAGUUUGGCCUCUCUGCUACGUGGAAACAGCAGCAGUGGAAAUGGUCCUAAAGCCAGGGCUGUUUCAGCACAGCAUUUGCUAGGAGGGCCUCGGGGAGGUCCAGCAAACCAAAAGAUGGACACUAAGGGGAAAGCUGUCACUGGUGGCCAGUGAAUCAACCAGCUGACCCUGCUCCAGCCCUGCUUGCUAAGCAUGACCAAGAUGCUUAAAAGCAAAACUGCAACAGGUACGUUAUCUGCCAUGUGGCUUGUGUCUAAUAGUGUCGUAUGGCACAGGGAUAAAGGGCCACCUGGCAAGAACAUGCCCAUCAGGAGGAAAGUGCAAAGUGGAAGUGGAGGCAUCUAGGCAUGGUGUGAGGCUCACCACCCAACGAGGGGGAAGGACGUGGGAACCGAGAAGGAAAGCGGUGCUGUACAUGAUCGGCAAGGGGACAGCAGGAAAACCCGGUUUAGCAACCGUGUAAGGUUCAACCUGAGAACGAGCAUAAUUUCCAGACUCCUGACGAAGGCAAGGCAGAAGGGUUUUCCUACAUCCUGACUCCUCAGGCAUGUGGCUGUACUUACCAUGCUUGCCUAUAUGAAUCAGGCAUUUGCGUAGGCUAUCAUCAAGGCUGCAUGUGCUAAUUAGCUACAAAAUCGUGUCUACGGCUCUACCUACAUGGUUUGGGGCUGAUUUUUAAAGCAGGCCCCUGGGAACACCCAGUGUUCAAAGGGUUACGUUUCUCAUUAAUAAAAGCACCUGGAUGCCU